CAGUUAAUAAACAAAAAAAACAUUUUCACUUUGGGCAGCACAAAUUCACACAGCCUCCCUCAUCAAUCUUAAACAUCUUCCCAUCUACUGCCAUAAAUCGACCAAAGAUCACUGCCUAUUUAAAACUUAAUUUGUCUUGAAUAAACAAAUAUAUGCCAUAAAUGAUUCAGAAAAUGUGCAGAUUGAACCAUUUUAUAGCUCCAUGCCCACGCUUCAUUUCCUGGGAGUAAAAUUCCCAUCACUGAGUUAUUUGGGAGAGUAAACCUAUAAUGCUCAUAUAAAACUGGGCUGCUGAAAUAUCUUCUAGCUAUCUAAGAAAAACAAAACACAAAACGGGUUUUAAAAAAAGAGGAGACAAAUGAUCUUAAUCAUCCAAAACAAAUCUUACACCUUCUCUCUGCUACUAUGGGGUUGGUGUUGAUCUGUGAAGACCGAUACUGCUCUCGGGUCCCGGGGGAUGGGCAGGAUCAUUGAGGGGAAAUGCAAAGACUCUAACCCGCCUGGCGUGGGUGUGGGUAGGCAGGAGGACUCGAAGGGAACCCACGCCCGCGUUCAGCUGCGCGGUUCGCCACUGUGGAAGGGAGAGAGCGAACGAGAGAGCAGCGAGGACCUCUCGUCUCGCCCUCAGGCGUCGAGUAGCUUUGCUGCAGCUGGAGGGCUGUGCGUAAAAGCGCAUCUUCGUCAGUGGUCUCUCCCUCAGUCUGUAUGUGUGUCUCUCUCUCUCUUUUCUGCCUCAUUCAGGCACAUCUUCAGCUCUGGCUCCGCCUGUGCGGCCGCGCUCUCUCUCGGGGUCGUCUCUGCCUCACGCUCUGUCCGCCUCUUGGCUACUGAAGAGCUCUCUCUUCCUCUCUUCUCUCUCUCUCUUUCUCCCGCGCUGACCAGGUGGGAAAAGGCGCGAAGACCGACGGUGCCCACCCCGGGAUCAUGCCUGUGCCCGGCUUCCUACCGCCUGCUCCUUGGCUCCAGCUCGGCGGGUGAGGCCACCUCUUCGGUUCAGGAUAAUCUGCUGUCUCAUCUCUGCAUAAUCCAGCAUAUCACUCCAGGAAGAAAGGAAGGAACCAACUUGAAACUUUUUUUUCAGCUCACUCCAGGAAGGAGUCUAGUGAGGAUGCAGUGUACAUAUUUUACAAAAAUAAAACACAUGCAGUCUUUCAUGCCUGCUCAUUUUCACCCUUUUAGUAAAAACUAAGCCUUUGCCAUGGAUGGUGAUUCCUGAGAAACUGCACCUCUCUAAACACUCCCUUCCUGGGAACUAUUAAUUAUGUGUCCUAAAGUCACUUUCAACAUAUAGCAACUCUCCCAGGUUUUUCUUGGUAUGAAGUACUUAAAAGGGGUUUACUAGUCCCACAUUCCACAUUCCAUGUGCUGUUUGCCCAAGGGCCACACAGGUGGCAGGUCAUGUAAUCCCAUCAGCCACAAACACUUCAGUGAUCCUAGCUCACCCAAAUGGCUCAGAAACCUUGUAUCCCUCUGCAUAUCCCCAGGAAUAAAAACAAUAUGAUGCCAGGAUCGGUAAUGGGA
rnacentral:lncRNA from 1 species